rnacentral:rRNA from 1 species
CAACCUGCCGAUAACUCAGGGAUAGCCUUUCGAAAGAAAGAUUAAUACCUGAUGGCAUAGGAUUAUCGCAUGAUGAUCCUAUUAAAGAAUUUCGGUUAUCGAUGGGGAUGCGUUCCAUUAGUUUGUUGGCGGGGUAACGGCCCACCAAGACAGCGAUGGAUAGGGGUUCUGAGAGGAAGGUCCCCCACAUUGGAACUGAGACACGGUCCAAACUCCUACGGGAGGCAGCAGUGAGGAAUAUUGGUCAAUGGACGGGAGUCUGAACCAGCCAAGUAGCGUGAAGGAUGACUGCCCUAUGGGUUGUAAACUUCUUUUAUACGGGAAUAAAGUGAUCCACGUGUGGAUUUUUGUAUGUGCCGUAUGAAUAAGGAUCGGCUAACUCCGUGCCAGCAGCCGCGGUAAUACGGAGGAUCCGAGCGUUAUCCGGAUUUAUUGGGUUUAAAGGGAGCGUAGGUGGAUUGUUAAGUCAGUUGUGAAAGUUUGCGGCUCAACCGUAAAAUUGCAGUUGAUACUGGCAGUCUUGAGUACAGUAGAGGUGGGCGGAAUUCGUGGUGUAGCGGUGAAAUGCUUAGAUAUCACGAAGAACUCCGAUUG